rnacentral:rRNA from 1 species
GAUGAACGCUGGCGGCGUGCCUAAUACAUGCAAGUCGAGCGAACGGACGAGAAGCUUGCUUCUCUGAUGUUAGCGGCGGACGGGUGAGUAACACGUGGAUAACCUACCUAUAAGACUGGGAUAACUUCGGGAAACCGGAGCUAAUACCGGAUAAUAUUUUGAACCGCAUGGUUCAAAAGUGAAAGACGGUCUUGCUGUCACUUAUAGAUGGAUCCGCGCUGCAUUAGCUAGUUGGUAAGGUAACGGCUUACCAAGGCAACGAUGCAUAGCCGACCUGAGAGGGUGAUCGGCCACACUGGAACUGAGACACGGUCCAGACUCCUACGGGAGGCAGCAGUAGGGAAUCUUCCGCAAUGGACGAAAGCCUGACGGAGCAACGCCGCGUGAGCGAUGAGGGUCUUCGGAUCGUAAAACUCUGUUAUUAGGGAAGAACAUAUGUGUAAGUAACUGUGCACAUCUUGACGGUACCUAAUCAGAAAGCCACGGCUAACUACGUG